UACGUAGGCAGCAAGCGUUGUUCGGAAUUACUGGGCGUAAAGAGUGUGUAGGCGGUGCUCUAAGUCUGCCGUGAAAUCUCCCGGCUUAACUGGGAGGGUGCGGCGGAUACUAUUGUGCUAGAGGGUGGGAGAGGUAAGCGGAAUUCCUGGUGUAGCGGUGAAAUGCGUAGAUAUCAGGAGGAACACCUGCGGUGUAGACAGCUUACUGGACCACUUCUGACGCUGAGACACGAAAGCGUGGGUAGCAAACAGG
rnacentral:rRNA from 1 species